rnacentral:rRNA from 1 species
AAGGCUAAAUACUCCUGACUGACCGAUAGUGAACCAGUACCGUGAGGGAAAGGCGAAAAGAACCCCGGCGAGGGGAGUGAAAAAGAACCUGAAACCGUGUACGUACAAGCAGUGGGAGCCCCACCACCAAAGCAUUUUCUGGUGUUGAAGGCCCUGCAAAGCAGCAUCGCGGUGGCGGAGCGUCGUUUGCGACGCCCAACACACAAAACAAGCGGUGAGUGCUUUGGGGUGGGGUGACUGCGUACCUUUUGUAUAAUGGGUCAGCGACUUAUAUUCUGUAGCAAGGUUAACCGAAUAGGGGAGCCGGAGGGAAACCGAGUCUUAA